rnacentral:rRNA from 1 species
UACGGAAGGCAGCAGGGGGAAGUAUUGCACAAUGGGCGCAAGCCUGAUGCAGCCAUGCCGCGUGUAUGAAGAAGGCCUUCGGGUUGUAAAGUACUUUCAGUCGUGAGGAAGGUGUUAAGGUUAAUAACCUUAGCAAUUGACGUUAGCGACAGAAGAAGCACCGGCUAACUCCGUGCCAGCAGCCGCGGUAAUACGGAGGGUGCGAGCGUUAAUCGGAAUUACUGGGCGUAAAGGGCACGCAGGCGGUUAAUUAAGUUGGAUGUGAAAUCCCCGGGCUUAACCUGGGAAUGGCAUUCAAGACUGGUUAGCUAGAGUCUUGUAGAGGGGGUAGAAUUCCAUGUGUAGCGGUGAAAUGCGUAGAGAUGUGGAGGAAUACCGGUGGCGAAGGCGGCCCCUGGACAAAGACUGACGCUCAUGUGCGAAAGCGUGGGGAGCAAACAGGGAUUAGAUACC